rnacentral:rRNA from 1 species
UAGGGAAUCUUCGGCAAUGGACGAAAGUCUGACCGAGCAACGCCGCGGGGGUGAAGAAGGUUUUCGGAUCGUAAAACUCUGUUGUUAGAGAAGAACAAGGACGUUAGUAACUGAACGUCCCCUGACGGUAUCUAACCAGAAAGCCACGGCUAACUACGUGCCAGCAGCCGCGGUAAUACGUAGGUGGCAAGCGUGGUCCGGAUUUAUUGGGCGUAAAGCGAGCGCAGGCGGUUUCUUAAGUCUGAUGUGAAAGCCCCCGGCUCAACCGGGGAGGGUCAUUGGAAACUGGGAGACUUGAGUGCAGAAGAGGAGAGUGGAAUUCCAUGUGUAGCGGUGAAAUGCGUAGAUAUAUGGAGGAACACCAGUGGCGAAGGCGGCUCUCUGGUCUGUACCUGACGCUGAGGCUCGAAAGCGUGGGGAGCAAACAGG